GAUGAACGCUGGCGGCGUGCUUAACACAUGCAAGUCGAACGAAGCACUUUAUUUGAUUUCCUUCGGGACUGAUUAUUUUGUGACUGAGUGGCGGACGGGUGAGUAACGCGUGGGUAACCUGCCUUGUACAGGGGGAUAACAGUUGGAAACGGCUGCUAAUACCGCAUAAGCGCACAGCAUCGCAUGCUGCAGUGUGAAAAACUCCGGUGGUAUAAGAUGGACCCGCGUUGGAUUAGCUAGUUGGUGAGGUCACGGCCCACCAAGGCGACGAUCCAUAGCCGACCUGAGAGACUGACCGGCCACAUUGGGACUGAGACACGGCCGAAACUCCUACGGGAGGCAGCAGUGGGGAAUAUUGCACAAUGGGCGAAAGCCUGAUGCAGCGACGCCGCGUGAGCGAAGAAGUAUUUCGGUAUGUAAAGCUCUAUCAGCAGGGAAGAUAAUGACGGUACCUGACUAAGAAGCACCGGCUAAAUACGUG
rnacentral:rRNA from 1 species